UUAGCCCUUAACCUAAAAAAUCAACACAACAACAUUAUUCGCCAGAGUACUACUAGCAACAGCUUAAAACUCAAAGGACUUGGCGGUGCUUUAUACCCCUCUAGAGGAGCCUGUCCUAUAAUCGAUAAACCCCGAUAAACCUCACCAGCUCUUGCCAAUUCAGCCUAUAUACCGCCAUCCUCAGCAAACCCUAAAAAGGAACUGUAGUAAGCACAAACAUAAACAUAAAAACGUUAGGUCAAGGUGUAGCCUAUGAGCUGGGAAGAGAUGGGCUACAUUUUCUUCUUAAAGAACACUUAAAACUAUACGGAAGCCCCCAUGCAACAGGGAGCGGAAGGUGGAUUUAGUAGUAAAUCAAGAACAAAGAGCUUGAUUGAAUCAGGCCAUGAAGCACGCACAACACCGCCCCGUCACCCUCUGCAGUCAA
rnacentral:rRNA from 1 species